rnacentral:tRNA from 1 species
GCCCCCGUCGUCUAGCCUGGACUAGGACGCCGGGCUCUCAAUCCGGAAACAGGGGUUCAAAUCCCCUCGGGGGCG